UGCGUGUAAUUUAAAAAAAAUAUUAAGCUGUGACCUUGACAAUAGGAGUCUCCUCACACAG
rnacentral:tRNA from 1 species